GACGAACGCUGGCGGCGUGCCUAACACAUGCAAGUCGAACGGAAACGCCCUGCCUUUUUGCGCUGCUCGAGUUGCGAACGGGUGAGUAACACGUGGGUAACGUAUCCUUCCCUUUGGGGUAUGCUCAUGAAACUUAGUCUAUUCGCAGACAGGAUCUCCCGCCGUAUGGUGGGCCUUGGUUAGUUUCGCCGGUUGGGGAUGGACGCGCCGCUGAUGGGCUUGUUGGUGGGGUAGUGGCUUACCAAGGCCUGGCAGGGUAGCCGGCCUGAGCGGGUGAACGGCCACAUUGGGACUGAGAUACGGCCCAGACUCCUACGGGAGGCAGCAGGGGGGAGUAUGGCACAAUGGGCGGAAGCCUGAUGCAGCAACGCCGCGUGCGGGAUGACGGCCUUCGGGUUGUAGACCGCUUUCGCCUGUGACGAAGCGUGAGUGACGGUAAUGGGUAAAGAAGCACCGGCUAACUACGUG
rnacentral:rRNA from 1 species